rnacentral:misc_RNA from 1 species
CAACCAAGAAUAAGGUCCAUACAUUAUCCCUUCCUUAAUUAGUAACAUUUUCCACUUGGUGUAGAAGAAUAUUCAAGUACAAUUAUUGCCUUAAUAAAAAGAUGAGGACCAUGCAUAGUAUAUAGUGUCCUUGGUUGAAAGAUAAUCAAAGACACCUUGACCAAAAUAUAUGCAAAUAAAGAAGGUAUAAUGUAUGGACCUUAUUCUUGGUUGAGAAACAUCCUGAAGAAACCAUUCCAGUGAUCACCUUUUGUGUCUGUGGUGGAAUUCUGAAGCAACCUUUCCA